rnacentral:rRNA from 1 species
CAGUAGCCGCGGUAAUACGAAGGGUGCAAGCGUUAAUCGGAAUUACUGGGCGUAAAGCGUGCGUAGGCGGUUUGUUAAGUCUGUUGUGAAAUCCCCGGGCUCAACCUGGGAAUGGCAAUGGAUACUGGCAAGCUAGAGUGUGUCAGAGGAUGGUGGAAUUCCCGGUGUAGCGGUGAAAUGCGUAGAGAUCGGGAGGAACAUCAGUGGCGAAGGCGGCCAUCUGGGACAACACUGACGCUGAGGCACGAAAGCGUGGGGAGCGAACAGGAUUAGAUACCCCAGUAGUCCCUGUCUCUUAUAA